GCCUUCGUGGUGUAAUGGUCGGCACACUCGGCGCGUAUUCCAGAGGUCCAAGGUUCGAGUCCUGGUGAGGGCA
rnacentral:tRNA from 1 species